GGCGACGUAGCCAAGUGGCAAGGCAGGGGUCUGCAAAACCCCCACCGCGGGUUCGAGUCCCGCCGUCGCCU
rnacentral:tRNA from 1 species